rnacentral:rRNA from 1 species
AUCGAACGCUGGCGGCAGGCCUAACACAUGCAAGUCGAGCGAGCGUCGGACGGGUGAGUAAUGUCCGGGAACCUGCCUGCUGGAGGGGGAUAACUACAGGAAACGGUAGCUAAUACCGCCUACCAUCUGAUGUGCCCAGAUGGGAUUAGCCGGUAGGGGGGGUAAUGUCUCACCUAGGCGACGAUCCCUAGCUGGUCUGAGAGGAUGACCAGCAAAACUGGAACUGGGACAGGGUCCGGACUCUUACGGGAGGCAGCAGUGGGGAAUAUUGCACAUUGGGCGCAAGCCUGAUGCAGCCAUGCCGCGUGGGUGAGGAAGGCCUUCGGGUUGUAAAGCACGUUCAGCGAGGAGGCGUUACUCGCAGAAGAAGCACCGGCUAACUCCGUGCCAGCAGCCGCGGUAAUAC